UACGUAGGGGGCUAGCGUUGCUCGGAAUCACUGGGCGUAAAGGGUGCGUAGGCGGGGUUUUAAGUCUGAGGUGAAAUCCUGGAGCUCAACUCCAGAACUGCCUUUGAUACUGAGGAUCUUGAGUGCGGGAGAGGUGAGUGGAACUGCGAGUGUAGAGGUGAAAUUCGUAGAUAUUCGCAAGAACACCAGUGGCGAAGGCGGCUCACUGGCCCGUUACUGACGCUGAGGCACGAAAGCGUGGGGAGCAAACAGG
rnacentral:rRNA from 1 species